UUAAGCGACCAAGCGUACACGGUGGAUGCCCUGGCAGUCAGAGGCGAUGAAGGACGUGCUAAUCUGCGAUAAGCGCCGGUAAGGUGAUAUGAACCGUUAUAACCGGCGAUUUCCGAAUGGGGAAACCCAGUGUGAUUCGUCACACUAUCAUUAACUGAAUCCAUAGGUUAAUGAGGCGAACCGGGGGAACUGAAACAUCUAAGUACCCCGAGGAAAAGAAAUCAACCGAGAUUCCCCCAGUAGCGGCGAGCGAACGGGGAGGAGCCCAGAGCCUGAAUCAGCAUGUGUGUUAGUGGAAGCGUCUGGAAAGGCGCGCGAUACAGGGUGACAGCCCCGUACACAAAAGCGCAUAUGCUGUGAGCUCGAUGAGUAGGGCGGGACACGUGGUAUCCUGUCUGAAUAUGGGGGGACCAUCCUCCAAGGCUAAAUACUCCUGACUGACCGAUAGUGAACCAGUACCGUGAGGGAAAGGCGAAAAGAACCCCGGCGAGGGGAGUGAAACAGAACCUGAAACCGUGUACGUACAAGCAGUGGGAGCACAGGUUUACCUGUGUGACUGCGUACCUUUUGUAUAAUGGGUCAGCGACUUAUAUUCUGUAGCAAGGUUAACCGCAUAGGGGAGCCGAAGGGAAACCGAGUCUUAACCGGGCGUUAAGUUGCAGGGUAUAGACCCGAAACCCGGUGAUCUAGCCAUGGGCAGGUUGAAGGUUGGGUAACACUAACUGGAGGACCGAACCGACUAAUGUUGAAAAAUUAGCGGAUGACCUGUGGCUGGGGGUGAAAGGCCAAUCAAACCGGGAGAUAGCUGGUUCUCCCCGAAAGCUAUUUAGGUAGCGCCUCGUGAACUCAUCUCCGGGGGUAGAGCACUGUUUCGGCUAGGGGGCCAUCCCGGCUUACCAACCCGAUGCAAACUGCGAAUACCGGAGAAUGUUAUCACGGGAGACACACGGCGGGUGCUAACGUCCGUCGUGAAGAGGGAAACAACCCAGACCGCCAGCUAAGGUCCCAAAGUCAUGGUUAAGUGGGAAACGAUGUGGGAAGGCCCAGACAGCCAGGAUGUUGGCUUAGAAGCAGCCAUCAUUUAAAGAAAGCGUAAUAGCUCACUGGUCGAGUCGGCCUGCGCGGAAGAUGUAACGGGGCUAAACCAUGCACCGAAGCUGCGGCAGCGACGCUUAGGCGUUGUUGGGUAGGGGAGCGUUCUGUAAGCCGUUGAAGGUGGCCUGUGAGGGUUGCUGGAGGUAUCAGAAGUGCGAAUGCUGACAUAAGUAACGAUAAAGCGGGUGAAAAGCCCGCUCGCCGGAAGACCAAGGGUUCCUGUCCAACGUUAAUCGGGGCAGGGUGAGUCGACCCCUAAGGCGAGGCCGAAAGGCGUAGUCGAUGGGAAACGGGUUAAUAUUCCCGUACUUGGUGUUACUGCGAAGGGGGGACGGAGAAGGCUAUGUUGGCCGGGCGACGGUUGUCCCGGUUUAAGCGUGUAGGCUGACUUUCCAGGCAAAUCCGGAGAGUCAAGGCUGAGGCGUGACGACGAGGCACUACGGUGCUGAAGCAACAAAUGCCCUGCUUCCAGGAAAAGCCUCUAAGCAUCAGGUAACAUCAAAUCGUACCCCAAACCGACACAGGUGGUCAGGUAGAGAAUACCAAGGCGCUUGAGAGAACUCGGGUGAAGGAACUAGGCAAAAUGGUGCCGUAACUUCGGGAGAAGGCACGCUGACAUGUAGGUGAAGUGAUUUACUCAUGGAGCUGAAGUCAGUCGAAGAUACCAGCUGGCUGCAACUGUUUAUUAAAAACACAGCACUGUGCAAACACGAAAGUGGACGUAUACGGUGUGACGCCUGCCCGGUGCCGGAAGGUUAAUUGAUGGGGUCAGCGCAAGCGAAGCUCCUGAUCGAAGCCCCGGUAAACGGCGGCCGUAACUAUAACGGUCCUAAGGUAGCGAAAUUCCUUGUCGGGUAAGUUCCGACCUGCACGAAUGGCGUAAUGAUGGCCAGGCUGUCUCCACCCGAGACUCAGUGAAAUUGAACUCGCUGUGAAGAUGCAGUGUACCCGCGGCAAGACGGAAAGACCCCGUGAACCUUUACUAUAGCUUGACACUGAACAUUGAGCCUUGAUGUGUAGGAUAGGUGGGAGGCUUUGAAGCGUGGACGCCAGUCUGCGUGGAGCCAACCUUGAAAUACCACCCUUUAAUGUUUGAUGUUCUAACGUGGACCCGUAAUCCGGGUUGCGGACAGUGUCUGGUGGGUAGUUUGACUGGGGCGGUCUCCUCCUAAAGAGUAACGGAGGAGCACGAAGGUUGGCUAAUCCUGGUCGGACAUCAGGAGGUUAGUGCAAUGGCAUAAGCCAGCUUGACUGCGAGCGUGACGGCGCGAGCAGGUGCGAAAGCAGGUCAUAGUGAUCCGGUGGUUCUGAAUGGAAGGGCCAUCGCUCAACGGAUAAAAGGUACUCCGGGGAUAACAGGCUGAUACCGCCCAAGAGUUCAUAUCGACGGCGGUGUUUGGCACCUCGAUGUCGGCUCAUCACAUCCUGGGGCUGAAGUAGGUCCCAAGGGUAUGGCUGUUCGCCAUUUAAAGUGGUACGCGAGCUGGGUUUAGAACGUCGUGAGACAGUUCGGUCCCUAUCUGCCGUGGGCGCUGGAGAAUUGAGGGGGGCUGCUCCUAGUACGAGAGGACCGGAGUGGACGCAUCACUGGUGUUCGGGUUGUCAUGCCAAUGGCACUGCCCGGUAGCUAAAUGCGGAAGAGAUAAGUGCUGAAAGCAUCUAAGCACGAAACUUGCCCCGAGAUGAGUUCUCCCUGAGACUUAAAGUCUCCUGAAGGAACGUUAAAGACGAUGACGUUGAUAGGCCGGUGUGUAAGCGCAGCGAUGCGUUGAGCUAACCGGUACUAAUGAACCGUGAGGCUUAACCUU
rnacentral:rRNA from 1 species